GUUUCCUCUAGACGCCUCCCUCACUCUCUUCUGCAACAAGAAAUACAUGAAAAAAAACAAACUCUCAUCUACUGUGAGACUCAAAAACUGAUCAUCUUAUUUUAACACAGUCAACAAAAUUGAAAACCCCAAAAUUUCUCUAAGUUAUUCCUUUUCUCGAUGAGGGGCGGCAGCGAAAUACAAGGAUCUGUAUGUUUCCGGUUAGAUCUUUCUUAAUUUCCUUGUUCCUGUACUAGAUUUAGUUUAACAUGUAAUCUAGGAUUCAUCAAAAAUUUCUAAUGAUUGAAGUCUAAUUACGUGGGAUUUUACUAAAGGGGAAGAUCUAGUGUGUGUGUGGGUUUUCUUGUUUUUUCCCCCUUUUCCCAUGCCGUCAGUAGGUAUGAGAAGGUCUACUAGGAUUUUUGUACCAAAAUCUGUAAAAGAUUUUGAAGGAGCAACAGUGUUAAGAUCAGGUAAGCGAUUGUCAUCGCCGUUGUUUGUUGAUUCUAAGGCAGCCAGGGGAAAUGAAAUUGAAUGGUUUUCUCCGUCUAUGGUUGAGAAAUCAUGUGGUGUGGUUGUUCCUUCUUUUCAUCAUAAAAGUCUUGUCAAAAGAAAUGAAUUUGUGGCGAAGCAAAUAAAAAAGGAAAGUUCUUCUCCAUCCAAGAAAUUGAAUGCAACUGUAACCGUAAUUGAUGAGCCGAAGAAGAAUAAAAUGUAUGGGAAUGGGUAUGGUAGAAAAAGGCUAAGAUCAGUGGCUGAAAAUGUGGUGGGUACCCUAACAGAUAGCAACAGAAAAUUGGAUUUUGAUUUUGAAAAGAGGGGUUUGGAUGAGGAGCGGAAGUAUGGGAUUCAUUUUUUUCGAAAACAUCGAAGAAAGGCGGUAUCUUCAGAAUCAUCUGCAUAUCUAGCAAUUGAACAUUCUGAUGGAAAUAAUGAAUUUUCAAAAAUUAAUAGUAAAUCUGAAGAAUUGGCGGGAAAUUCUGGUUCACUUAGUUCUGAAUCAAGAGACAGUCUUGAUGUGAUUGUUGAACCUUCUCCUUGUUGUUCUAGUCAGUUCUGUAUUUUCUUAGUUUCACUUUUAAACUUCAUGACAAGGGCAAGGGUUAGUAUGUCAAAGCUUGUUGCGUUUAUGUGUUCUGGUCCCAUUGGUGAAACUUUUUCUCGGCAUGGGAUACAUUUCUUCCCUGAUCUAUCAUGCAGGAGAAGCGGUACUACUUUCUUGUCUAGAAUCUGCAUAAUUUGGGGUGCACAAGAUUUUGUACCUAUGUUUUCCUUGAACUUCAAUUCAGCUCCAUUUACAUUUAUAAGUCUGCAUUUUAGAAUGUUACUUCAAUCUCAAAGUUCGAUGGAUGUACUUGAGAGGUAUCUCGUGGGUGUGGUUAUGAAGCCUCAUGGAGCUAAUGGCAGCAGAAAACGCCUUUCCUCUGAGAUGGUGGUGGGUGUCUCUUUAAGCAAAAUAGUGGCUUCUGUGAGUUCUUCUGCGAAGAGAAGAAAGGAAGUCAAUUCUGUUGCUCAAAGAAGAAUUUCAAGUCGGCGUAGGACCAAUUCUAGGGGUGUUAAGACUUUUAGGUCCCUGAGAUUUAAGAGACCUCCUACCCUGGUUUCGCAAGAGUGUGUUGAUGAAGUUUCUGAUAUGUUUGGUACCGGAGUUGAUGGUACUGAUACCAGUUCUAUAAACAAGGUGAAAAAGCCAUUAUCUAGUGGCACUUGCAGUGCUGAUAUUAUCGAGGAGACGAAUCAGAAGGGAGAUACGAUCUGCUGCAGCGCAAAUGUCUUGGUUACAGAAUCUGAUAAGUGUUUCAGAGCAGAGGGGGCGAAGAUAGUGUUGGAGUAUUCGGAAUCAGACGACUGGUUACUUGUAGUGAAAGUGCAGGGCGUGACCAGGUUUAUUCAUAAAGCAGUAGAUUUGAUGAGGCCCCUGUGCACAACGAAUCGUUUCACUCAUGACCUGAUAUGGAUAGGAAGAACUGAUUGGAGGCUAGAGUUUUCUGAUAGACAAGAUUGGUCCAUCUUCAAAGAACUGCACAGCGAAUGUGCAGACAGAAAUAUGAAGGCAAUGGCUGCUAGGGAAGUAGUCCCUGUUCCUGGGGUACAUGAAGUGGAAAGCCAUGGGGACUAUAAAAAUGUUUCUUUCGUACGACCCAAUGCUUACAUUAAGAUGCAUGGCAACGAGGUGGAAAGGCUUUUCGUAAGGAGGAUUGCAAAUUAUGAUAUGGAUACAGAUGACGAAGAGUGGCUUGGAAAACUAAACAAUGACCUCUGUGGUGAUGGUGGUCCUCUUAGGCUUGUGUCAGCUGAGAAUUUUGAGAAGAUGGUAGAUAUAUUUGAGAAGGCUGCUUAUUGUAAACCAGAUGAUGUCUCUGAUGAGAGUAAAGCCGUUAAGCUUUGUCCUGAUAUGACGAUGAAUAUACUUACAUCUGUCUAUCAUUACUGGGUGGAGAAACGGAAGAAGAAAAAUUGUGCUUUACUGCGAGUGUUGCAGUGUGCCCCACCAAGGAAGCAUGAGAUGCUGCAAAAGCCCUUUCUUCGUAAGAAAAGAUCAUUUAAGAGACAAGCUAGCAAAUGUGGAAAUGGCAAACCAAGAACUUUCUUUCAAGAUUACUUGGGAACAUGGAAGCUUUGAAGAUGUUUCACAAUAGGUGUUUGAAUAAUUGAAUAUCAUUGUUGAAAAGUAUUUAAAUUUCUCAGCAUCCUAAAAAGGACGCACACACAAUUUUAGUGAAACCGUCAAGGAUUGUGUGAAAGUAAUGCUCUACUGUGUUGUCCACACUGCGAUUUAUGACUAAAAUUCUUUGUGUUCCGAAGAUCUUUUUGCAAAAAGAAACUCUUUGUAGCCAUAUCAAUUUUGCUCUAUCGUUGCGAAAAGGGUAUACCUUGCUUGUUCAUGCGUCGAAUUUGGGAUUUUUGAACAAUGUUUUUGCGGAGGAACAAGAGCAGGAUGCAAAUCGCAAGCGCUCUGCAAAAAUAUCUGUAGAGUUAGCAGUUGUCAAGCGCAGAAGAGCCCAGGAACUCAUGGAAAUUGCUGACCUUGCAACCUACAAGGCUACCUUAGCGUUGAAAAUUGCUGAAGCAGUACAACACGAAAUUCCUUCAGACGAUUUUGUUACUUUCAUCCUUAGUUAGAUAUCAC